UUUUGUUUGGCAGAAUGAACCCAGCCAUAAUUCUCUUCUAGCGCGUCCAAUGGAAAAUUAGGGUUCAUCUCCGCUCUUUGUUCUCCGCCGUUGAAGAGAUUAAUUUUUUGGGUUCGAGUUGAUGAAUCUGUUUGUAGGGUUUCGAUUGCGUCGUCUGAUCUUAUUUCUCAUCAACCAAAACGUUCUCAGUUACAGAUUCGUCUCAUUAAACCUCUUCUUAACUCCAUUAACCAUAUCUAUCCUUGAAUGCAAUUUCCCUUCUGCAAGGCGGUGUCACUGCGCGUAUAAAAAGGCAAGCCUUACUCCUCUCGAAACCAUCUUCUCGAUCUGUUGAGUCAACAAAGUAAACUAUUUUUUUUCCUCAGAAAUGGCUAACUCAGAAGUUCUUCCUUUUUAUUUGAAGUCCGGUAGUUUUUCAUCCAUCGUCGAGGUUAGGUUGUGCAGUCUGGUAGGCGAGAAACAUCAGGAACAGUGGGGAUUUCUUCUCGCUGACUAAGGGAAACCGGAGGGGUUACGGCUACAUUCAACCGAUUCAUAUGGAUUUCUUCUUAAAUCGUUAUGGGCGUCAAUAUGCUUCUCCUGGACGCCAAGGACAUUACUGAAGAAAAAAAAAACUUAUCCAUGCCCAAAAGUGGUUAUUCUGUGUUGAUAUUGUAAAGAAAUAGAAAGAGUCUUCACGGUUUCAGAGCUGCCGAAAUGGUUAGAUAAUAUCAAGAUGUUUGGCACCGCCAUACUGGGGAGAAGAGCAUUGUCUUUAAGCCAAUAUACUUUGUUUUUGGAUCAUCUGGAUUCUGGAGAUUCCUUUGAGAAGAAGAGAAGGUGCUGAAAGAUUCAAUGAAACCAUCACAAAACAGGAAGUAAAUGAAUAAGUUUCUGACAAAAACAUUGUUUGAAUCGAGCAUAAAGCUAAAUAUCUUUAUGAUUAUAUGAUGUAUAAGAUUCUGGGCAAUUUCCGGUAUAGGAGGAGCUAGAUUUGGGUGAAGCGGCAAAUGAUUUGGUGAUGAUGGUGAUUCAGCCCGUGACGAGGAAGAGUCUUGAGAGCUAUAGUGGCUCUGAUCUUUAGCAGAGCAGACAAAGUCGUUUCCCUACUUCCUGAAUUUGUUGUAAACAAGUAGAAAAAAAAUGCUAAGGGAAACCGCAACGUUAUGUUAUGGUUGGACAUGAAGCAUGUGGAAUGCAUUGGAUCGCUUAUGUGCAAGAAAUUUUACUGUCUAAGAAACCAGAGGAGAAGAAGGUGGUCAAGUAAGGUGAUGGAAAUAUAACUCCAUUAACGUAGCUAAAAAUAGGAGGAAGCUUUAAAGCUUGAAUCAACGAGCUGCAACCAAGUCUCCACCCAUUAUUUUUUGAUCAAAUUCUACAACCAUUAAAUGUUGAUAUUUAAAGACAAGACUCAGUUUUAAUGUCUUUUUUGCAUUUAUGGUUUGAUCCCAAUAGUCUAAAAACUUCCGUUGAUAUUGAUGAAUCCUUUACUUUUAUAUAUAUGAUCAGUCAAAUGUAAUUGUGUUAGAAAAAGAUUAGUCAAAUGUAAGUUUGUUUCUUUU